rnacentral:rRNA from 2 species
CGUGCUCGGCGCGAACAAUAUACAUUAAACUAUAGAGACCGCUGUUUCUUCUUUAAACCAGAGGAAGGAUACGGCAAUAACAGGUCUGUGAUGCCCUCAGAUGUUCCGGGCUGCACACGUGCUACAAUGAUCAUUGCACUGUGCAUCUAACACAAUGUGCGCGGACGCCGCAUGCAUGUGCCUUCGGGUACACGCAUUGCUGAGCGACCGCGCCGAACCUACUUCGAAAGUAAAAUUUCUCAGUGGGUAAUCCAUUAGAAGUAAUGACUCGCAUAGACCAUGGCACAACUAAAUGUACGCGCAGGUUCUACCCGGCUCGCCUUUGUGUGAGUGCAGUGCGUAGCUUGUUGUUUCGUACGUGCCACUCCGUAUUAAUUCGUACGUGGGGAUAGAUCAUUGUUUAAUUGUUGGUCUCGGUCUUAACUAGGAAUGCCUUGUACGGGUCUCUGGUUCAACAUACCACCCGGAAUACGUCCCUGCCCUUUGUACACACCGCCCGUCGCUCUUACCGAUGGAUUAUGCUAUGAAUCUAUAGGACUGCCAAAGCUUUUUGGAGCUUAGUGGAAAUAUAUAUGAAUAGCGGAUCUA